rnacentral:rRNA from 1 species
UCACUCCUACGGGAGGCAGCAGUGGGGAAUUUUGGACAAUGGGCGAAAGCCUGAUCCAGCAAUGCCGCGUGAGUGAAGAAGGCCUUCGGGUUGUAAAGCUCUUUUGUCAGGGAAGAAACGGUGAAAGCUAAUAUCUUUUGCUAAUGACGGUACCUGAAGAAUAAGCACCGGCUAACUACGUGCCAGCAGCCGCGGUAAUACGUAGGGUGCAAGCGUUAAUCGGAAUUACUGGGCGUAAAGCGUGCGCAGGCGGUUUUGUAAGUCUGAUGUGAAAUCCCCGGGCUCAACCUGGGAAUUGCAUUGGAGACUGCAAGGCUAGAAUCUGGCAGAGGGGGGUAGAAUUCCACGUGUAGCAGUGAAAUGCGUAGAUAUGUGGAGGAACACCGAUGGCGAAGGCAGCCCCCUGGGUCAAGAUUGACGCUCAUGCACGAAAGCGUGGGGAGCAAACAGGAUGAGAAACCCGAGUAGUCCCAUG